rnacentral:lncRNA from 1 species
CUAAUUAAUUAAGUGGCUUGUGAUGGUCCGUACGGUGGCAACAACACCAUCAGCCAAGGUCCCGUACAUCCUCGUUUUGGUGAGUCGAGCCAAGAUAUAUUGUCCGGACGUGCUAGGAAGGUGCCGUAUGCGGUAACGCGCGUCGAAUAUAUAUUUACUUUGGUUUUCGGAUUUUUCGGAAGAUAUUCUUUGUACUCCGCCUUUUCGACAUUAAUAAAUUAUUUGCUCUGUCUUCGCCCAUGGACGUAGGCCGUUGGCCGAACCACGUAAAAAUCGGUGUGUUUUUUUCGCUUAUCUUUUCGUUUCUUGCAUUAAAUUAUUUUCUCGAUCUAUUUUUCGCCGUUUCGAUUUUAACACUUCGCUAGAAGUACGGCGAUUGGUAAAGAUUCUUGAGUUUCGCUCUUUUUAUAUUUCCCAGCAAGCUGCCACAAAGCAUAAGUCAAACCAGGAUUUCGCAGCUCCCAACAACACGUUCCUGCAAUUCAUCCAUCUCAUGGGAAUGUCUCCGACUGCUGUCCGCAGUAAAGCGGUGAUGUUCUGUAAACAUGAAAGUAUUGCGUUCCACAUAGCUCGCGCGUAAGGACACCCAAAAAGUAAAUGAUCCAGGUUUUCCUCAUUGCUGAAGCACAUCACACAAAUUGAGGGACCCUGCCACCCACGUUUGGUUAACAAGUCCGCCGUCCAAAUCCUAUUUCUCGCUGCCAGCCACAUGAAGAUUUUGAUCCUGAGUGGCGCUUUUAGCUUCCAAAGGUGAAGCAAGCUGCAGUCCGACACUCCGCAAAAGGCGAGGAAAUCGUAGGUGCUUCCGGUCGAGAAAUGGCCACUUGAGUUCCAUCUCCAAAUGAGUGAAUCCUCCAGUUCAGCAUUCAAGGAGGUAGUGGAUACCAAGGCCACAAGGUGGUGGAGUUCGUCCUGCUGCGGCCGGCUAAGGGAGGAACCGAAUCCUAGUGAGGUACUUCCGGCAAAACGUCGAAACCACCAUUUGACGGAGAUCUGUUUCUGCGUCGUUAUGCAAUACAGAUUGGGAAAUUGUUUUUGCAGGGGUAACUCACCAUGCCAUCUGGAAUUCCACAUAGAAGUUAGCCUGCCAUUGCCGAGUGAAAGAUUGACAGAGGUUGAGAAAGGUGCCGCUGUAGAGAGGAUCGCUUUCCAAACAGGAGAACCCCCAGCAGGUUUAGAGAGGUCUGUCCGAGGCGGCCUAUGUUUAAAGUGUUUUUGAACUAGAAUACUCCCAAAAGCACCAAGGGAGUGGUGUUUUUGAAUUUUUAGCCAUUGGAUGUAGAGAUGUAGGGUUGAGAUGAUGGUGGUAGGUGGUGAUAGAUGAAAUAGUGUUUGAUCCAAAGGCUAUUAGUAAUCAAGGAGUAGAUUCAAGGGUUAGAAAUCUAGAAGCACCAAGGACUUGUGCUUCUAAAAGUAUUCUAGCUCAAUUCCAUAUAUAUAUAUAUAUAUAUAUAUAUAUAUAUAUGUAUAUAUAGGAACUAGGCUUAAUAUACUAUUAAUCAUGCAGCCAAGUCAUUAGUACUACCAAGUUUUUGGGCCAUUGGAUUAAGAGAUGUGCGGUUAGAUGAUGUGGCCCCCUGGUAAGUGGUGCGUGGCUGGAAUAGUAUGAUCUAACGAUGAAAAAUGAUCAAAAUGGUAGAUCUAACGCGGAAAACUUGGUAGCACCAAUGUGCUUCAUUGCUAUUAAAUAGCAUAGUACCGGACCUGUUGUAUGUGUGUUGUGUGUAUAUAUAUAUAUAUAUAUAUAUAUAUAUAUAUAUAUAUAUAUAUAUAUAUAUAUAUAUAUAUAUAGUUGAGCUAGAAUGCUAUCAAUAGCAAACCGGCAUCGUUGCCACCUAUUUGUUUUCGAUGAUAGAGCCUCCAAAUUGACGAUCGGCACUGUUGAACAUCAUCUAUACCACUUGAAGUAUUUAGAAAUUAAAUUUCAAAUCUUUUCGACAUCAUUUGCAUAAUGAUCAAAGGGUUUCAAAAUGUGUAAUUUUAAUGGUCGAUAUGAAGCGUUUUCUCGUUAAACGGCGUAAAGAUAUCCAAAUCAAUUGAAUUUUUGUUAAAAAAUUCUUUAAACUAUUUAAAACAAAAUCUAUAUUCUUGAUCUUGAUUACAAGACUCCUAUUAUCAUUUUUUAAAGAAUAUUCAUUUUUAGCCGUUCAUUUUUGUGUCUAUUCGAUGGAUAAGAGAACAAUGUCGGAAAUAUAUAAAAUUUGAUUUCUAAACACUUCAAGUGGUAUAGAUCAUAUUCAACAGUACCGAUCGUCGAUUUGGAGGCUCGAUCAACGAAAAUAAAUGGGUAACAACGGAGUCCGUUUACUAUCGAUAGUAUUCUAGCUCAAUUACAUAUAUAUAUAUAUAUAUAUAUAUAUAUAUAUAUAAAAUUAAGUAAAGGUGUAAUUUGAUUGUUACCAUGCAAUAACUAUUAUUAAAUGAGAUAUAAACUUUGAUUUGACGUGCUUCUCAGUUUUCCACAUCCUUGAAUUCAUGAAAAGUAACUGGGAACAUGGCCCAAAACUUUCAAAACUAAGAAUAUAUUCUUUUUUCUUUUUUCUUCUUUUGGUAGCCUCUUACCUGAACUAAUGCCAUAUCUAGCCUUUUUGAAAAUUUUUUUUUCAAUCUAGCCUUCUUCGUAAAAAAAAUUCCUAAUCUAGCCUUUCUUUUAAUGGAUUAGAAAAUAAAAGUCACUUAAGAGCAUUUAUAUUUUAAUUAGGAGAGAGAAAAUUUUUUCUCUCUUUCCUCUCAACAAACUAAUAUUUAAAAAUAAUUAAUUCUUAUAAUAAUAACAAUAAUUAAAAAUUAAUAUUUAAUAAUAAUGAUAUUAUUAUUACUGAAUGAUAAUUUUAUUAUUAUUAUUAUUAUUACUAGUAUUUAAUUGACUAUAUAUGUCAAAUUUGACAAUAUUGGUUUGUAUAGUCAAAUUAAAUACUAGUAAUAGUAAUAAUAAUUAUAAUAAUUAUUAUUUAGUAACUGGUCGUUUCUAGUACAAGUGGUAAAGGAUUUGGUGGUUGAUAUUUGAGGUUCUAAGUUUGAAUUAUAGUUGAUUUACAUUUCCAUUAAUUCAUAUUUCCAGCUAAGUUUGUUUCUAAAAAAAAUAACAAAGAAGGUAGCAUCUUGCUAUCUUUCUGAAAAAAAAAUUCAGUAAUAAUAAUUUUUAUUAUUAUUAAAUAUUAAUUUUUAAUUAAUAUUAUUAUAACAAAUAUUAAUUAUUUUUAAAUAUUAGUAUGUUGGGAGGAGAGAGAGAAAAAAAUUUCUCUCACCUAAUUAGCAUAUAAAUACUAUUAAAGUUAUCUUUUAUUUUCUAAUUUAUCUAAGGCUAGAUUGGGAAUUUUUUUGAAAAAAAGGCUAGAUUGGGAUUUUUUUUUUCUAAUAAGGCUAUACAUGGUAUUUGUUCCUCUUACCUUUAUAAAGGCAAAGAGGUUCUCUUCGUAUCAAUAAUAAUAUAUUUUUCAUAGUACAUAAAAAGAUUUUUUUUUUUUUUUUUUAAAGAGAGAUUUGGUCCACAGCACACUACCAGGUUUAAUACAAAGUGGGUGUCAGCUGUGGUUGCUCUGCUCCACUGCUGUUGCUGUCAACCCUUAAAAAAAAUAAAAAUAAAAGCAAGAAAAAAGAAUAUCUAGACAUAACCUCAACUAUUGCUUUAUUUUGAAUCUGCCACUUCAACUUAUUUGCUUUUAACUUUUAAAUUAUUUUUAAAUAGCUUGGUCAAUUAAAUUGAAAAUUUUAUUGAAGUUAAUGGUAAUUCUUACAAAAACAAGCUUGUUAGGAUUGUUUCUGCAUCAUUUAUUGUACAUUAAUCGUUUACAUAAAAUGGUAUCAGAGUCACCCCAUACAUCUCAAGAGGUCAUGCAUUCAAUUUCUACAGUACAAUUGCACGACAUAAAUUUUUAUUAUUUAUUCGAUCUAUUGUCUCUUUUAUUAUCUUUUUUGGUCCACUUAACAUGUAUCGUGCAUAUGGUUAAGAGUGUUAAGACCACUCCCUAAUUAUUUUUUAAAUUUUGAAAAAUUCUCAACUAAACUAUGUUUAAUAAUUUUAACUAAAAAAUCGAAAGCUAAAAAAUUAUCAAUAAAAAAGUAAAAUUUAGGGGCGUUUUUCAAAAUAGAAUAUAGUUAAGGGCCGGUCCUCAAUAAAUGUUUACUUUGAACCCAAAAAAAAAAAAAAAAAAAAAAAAAAAAAAAAACACUCCUUCCAGAAAAAGAGAGGGGCUAUGAGUGUGUUUGGGUCCACACAAUCACUAAAAAUCUAGUUUGGAAGUAUAUAAGAAAGGUGAUCAUGUCAAAAAGGAGGGGCUUAGAGAGAGAGAGAGAGAGAGAGAGAGAGUUGAGUCAAAAAAGUAAUAAACAACAACAACAACAAAUAGUGACUGUAAUAAUAAUGAAAGAAGAAAUACAAAAAGGAGAGGUGCAUGCAAGGAAUUGGGUUCAAGGGAAUGAGAGGGGAAAGAGAUACUUUUCUUAUCCUGAUAGCUGAAGAUGCUUAUCUAUGUCUAGUAGUGUUAAGUACUCUGGGAAGAGAUGAGGCAUAAGGUGCAUGCAUUAGGGUUGGAACUUUGAAAGCAUAUUUUGUUUGACGUUUGUAUACUUUUACUCAUGAAAGCAACAUCAAAUGCUUAGCAAGUUAGAAAGUUUGAAGUGUUUGUUUUCGACACCAGAAUGUUUACGCCGUGUUUGGUAUAGUUGCCGACUUUUCGUUUUUAGAAAUUGUUUGAAAGAUUGAUUUGCUACAAAAUAACCAUUCCUGGUUCACUAAUUCGUAGGAAGAAACUGAACUUAAGUAGACGGUGAUUGAUAUAACAGUUUUUUAUCGUCAUUUCCAGUAUGAGUACUGCGUCCAACAUGAAACUUGUGAUUGGUAGUAAAACAUCGAUUUUCCUGUUGAGAUACAGUUCUAUCUUCGAAUAUUUCUGGAGAUAUCUUCUUACAAGUUUUGUUAUGUGUUUGCUGCAUCGAAAGAUGAGUGUCAAAUCUCAUUAAUGAAUCUUUUGUGAUUAUAGAUAACAGCAGUGCUACGACAUCGCUUCCGUACAGAAUUUGUGAUUAGAAAAGCAAAAGGAUUGAAGCAACAAUGACAAAAACAACACGAAGCUUUUGUUUCAACACGAAGCUAAUGACACUUUUGGGCCGCAAAAUGAGUGCUUCAAUUUGUAGUUUCCCCAAAAUUUCAACAAAAAGUAUAUUAAUACUUCUCCAAAUGGCCUUAUUAAAUAGCACUUCUGUAAAAACUUCAACUCAUAUAAAUUUUUCUUCUUUAUAUUGUAGCCUUAUCAAUUCAUAUCCAUUCAUAUUAUUUAGCUCGAAAAUAAAUAUUUUUCAGAAAUAACACAAGCUGCCAAACUAUCACUAUCUCUAAUAAAAUGAUAAAAUUCGACUUGGGGACAAUUUGGAUAGAAUAUAAAGUAUAUUUGUAGCAUUUUGCUUACCAAAAUAUUCCGAAAAUGAGUAGUUUUCAUAGUAAAGUGUUAUUAUUGUCCUAUUAAAAGAGUGUGACCCCUUUAAUAAUGCGUCCCAUUAUGUGAGCAUGAGAUUCACACCCACGUGAAUUCAAAUCACAAUUUGAUUAGGGUUUUUAAUUUGGUUCCUAAUUGAAUACGAAACCGAAUCGAUUCGAAUAAGACGAUUUGAUUUGGUUUUCUUAAUUUUUAUACAAUAUUUUUUUAAAAAAAUUAUCGAAUUUGGUUUGUGAUUUUGAUUUGGUUUUCAGAUGUUAGCAAAUCGAAUUCGAAGGAAACUUGUAUUUUAUGUGUCUAUGUAGUUAUUAUGCGCAUGCAUUUUGAUCCAUAAAUUUUAAAUUUUUUGUAAUUGCAAUCAGUCUCGCACUCUAAUUUAGAUGACCAAAUAUUGACGAGUGUAACAGUAUUAUAAUUAAUAAUGCAACAAUAAUUAAAAUAUCACAUAACUGUCGCAUUAGCGACAUAUCUGCACUUGUUCAAAUAAAUUGGACCGUCGACUUAAUUAUGAUAAUUUAUAAAAUCCAAUGUAGAAAAAAUAAUAAAUUAAAAUUUGUGGACCAAACUGUCACAUGCUUCAUACUUUGAGGAUCAAAAGUGUAAUUGCAUUGUCAUUUUGCUUCAUUAUUAGAGUUUACUAACUAAUUUUUUUUUUUUUAUAAAAAAAGUGAACUAAACUGAAUUAUGGAGAUAAAUCAAACCGAUCCGAACUAAAAUAAUUUGUUUUAAUUUUUUGGAGUUUUUUUCACCAAAUAAACAAAAGGAGAGCUAAAUUGAAUUACACCGACGAAUCGAACCGAACCAAACUAAAAUAAUUUGACUCAAACUUUAAAUCAAACUUACACCAGUUGAAACUUUUAUUUACCUUGGGCUGUUAAUGGGCUGGACUUUUUGCGAUUUCGCAAGGCCGGGCUCAAUUCAGAAAGAUCCGGCCCGGCCCGAACUUUUUUUUUAAAAAAAGGUGCUCUAAUUUUUUUUAAAAAUAUACUUUUCCUGUGAAUCAAACACACCGGAAAAAAAAAUUUCAGCCUAAAACAAAAAGGAUCUAAGUUGCCUGAACCUUUCUCACAGUUAAAAGUCCCAAAAUAUUUAUUAUUAUUUAUGAUCAAGUCCUUUUGUUUAAAAAUAAAUAUUUUUAAGCCCCAUGAAAAGCCCUGGAUCUUUUAUUUCGGGCCCGAUACGAAAUCAGGCCCGAUCAAUCACGGCCCAAUAGUACAACAUCAGCAAUGAGUUUGCUAAAAAAAAGAAAAACUUUCAUACUAGAGCCAAUUAUAUAUGGAUCGGUUAAACUCGAUCCUUAUUCUUUUGCAUAACAAUUAUCAUGCACCAUAGUAAACUCAAUUUAAUGGGCAUUAUGCGCAAAUCGGUGUAGCGAAAAGCAUAAGCUUUUUUUCCAUUCGGCUUGUUAAUCCUGGAGCCUCAGUCAUAUCCAGCUCCCCUUCUUUCGUCGCGCCACGGGCCAACUCCCACUCGAACCCAUACACGAGAUUAGCCAACGCGAGCUCGACUGUGGACAUUGCAAAUUGCAUGCCAGGGCAACCUCUCCGACCCGCCCCGAAUGGAAUGAACUGGAAAUCAUUACCUCUGAAGUCGAUCGAGCUAUUUAUAAACCUCUCAGGACGAAAUUCGUCGGGUGCGUCCCAAUAUUUUGGGUCUCUACUAAUAGCCCAAUAAUUGAUGGUAACUCUCGUGUUUUUCGGAAUGAAGUAGUCUUUUAUGUAGCAAUCUUUCGUUGAUUCUUUCUGAACCAGUAGUGGAGCUGGAGGGUGCAAUCGUAAGGUUUCUUUGAUCACGGCUUUUAAGUAGGUCAUCGUGUUCAGAUUCUUCUCGCUGAUUGUUUCGCUUUUCGUAGUAACCUCUCUCACCUCAUCCUGUAGCUUUUUCAUGAUGUUGGGAUUUCGAACAAGCUCUGCCAUGGCCCAUUCUAGGACUACGUAUGAUGUAUCUGUUCCUGCAGUAAACAUAUCCUGCGAAAAUUUAUGAAACAUAGAAGAAGAGAGGAUUAGACUUUGUAGAUUCAAAUAAUGAUGUACUUAAGAUGCGUACAUGGUUACUGAAGCAAUAUUGUUGUAGAUGAAAAUAUUGUACACAAAAUAAAUGACCUCUAGGACAAAAAGGGUAAUCCCUAGGCUAAGUGAUAGGAUAUUUGAGUCUUUUGAAUAAAAUAAAUAAUACCUAGCUUGAUCCCCUAUGUGGAGGUUUCUAGAACUACUACUAAUGUGGUGAUUGUACUAUACGAACCAACCGGUACAUGCCAUGUCAGUUUUUUUCUGGCUUCUUAGAAUAAAAAUCAUGUUUGAAGAGAAAAGCUAAAUUCAUAUGUUUUUUCUUUUAAUUUCCAUGAUUCACCAUAGAAAUUGUUCAAACACUACUAAGGUGAUCAUAUAUGAUUUUUUAUAUAUAUUUUGGCUUUAAGGCUGUAUUUGAUAGGCGAGAUUUUUGGGAACAAGGAGCAUAUCCUCCAACUUCUAUUCAAAUGAUAUGAAAACCGGGCCGAACUAGUUGUUUCUGUCAAAAUGGAUUGUUCUAAAAUAACCCGUUAAAACUGUUUCUGAAAAACUAAGAACAAUUCUAUUCUUCUUUUUAUUUUAUUAGAUAAAAAUAGAUAUAUAAAUAAAUAUGUUAAUAUAAAUAUUAUCUUUAUCAUAAUAUAAAUUAAUUAAAUUUUAUAUAUUAUUAUUUAUUUUUUUGUUUCAUUAUUUAUAUAUUAAUAUUUAAUUAUUUUAUUUUUUUUAUUGACUAUUAUAUAUAUUUAAUUAUUUUUCCAUAUUGUAUAUAUAUAUACUUUAAUUUGUAUUGAAAUUUUUACUAUUAUUAAUUAAAAUUAUAAGGAUAUUUCUAGUAUUAUAUUUUAUUCAUUACGUAUAUUAUGGAUAAAUUAUUGCUAAAUGAAAUAAAUUAUUAAAAUAAAAUAAAUAUAAUGCUAUAAAUUAAAUUAUUAUAUAAAAUAUUAUAUGAUAAUAUGUUAUAUAAAAUAAUUUUAUAUAAAAUAUACUGAUAUAAUGAAUUAUUUUAUUUUUUAAAAUAAAUUUAAAUAUUGUUUAGAUUUUUUAUCCAUACGCUACUAAGGAUAUAUAUAUGCUCUGAAAUAUCUUUGAAUAUAUCCAAACGUUAAUUUCUUUGCUAUAUUUCUUGAGAACAAUGACAAAUUAUCCCCUAAAAUUUAGUUCUUGGAACCAAACGAGAAUAUACCAAGUUGAACAACAAAGAGACAUUAAACCAUUAUGUAUGCAGUUAUGAAGCUUACCAGUAAGAUUGCCUUGAUGUGCUCUUUCUUUAACUCAAAAUCCAUGUUAGGAUCUUUUUGAAGAGAUAGUAACACAUCCACAAAGUCCUCUUCCCCAUCAUCCUUUUUAUCCCUAUUCUCAUGCUCCUUGAUCACCUCGUCAAGCACAUCAUCCCAUCUCUUAAAAGCCCUUUUGGCCCUCUUACUUAACCCUAGAAACCACCCUUCAAGCCAUGCAAGUGAAGGGAAAUAAUCCUCAACUCGAAACCCUCCGAGAAGAAUCACAAACUCCUCAAUUGCCUCGCGGAAAAAGUGGUUCCUCCCUCCUUCUCUAAGGAACUUUCCUGAAACCAACCGACAGAUGAUAUCGUUCACGAAAGAGAAUAGCACUUCGCUCAUGUCGAUCGGAGCGUGAAGAAGAGAACAUUGAGUGAUAUUUUUGACCAUGAAGGCUACUUCUUCCUCUCUAGCUAGUUGAUAAGAUUGCACCCUUUUGGUACUUAAGAGGUGGAGAGUGCAAAGCUUUCUAAGUUGCCUCCAAUGCUCGCCGUAAGGCGAGAAGGCCAUGUCCAUGCAACUGUAGAGGAGGAUCUCCGCAUUCUUCAACAAAGGACGGUUCGCGAAGAUUAAGUCAUGAGUUCUCAUGAUCUCUAGCGCCAUAUCGGCCGAGGAGACGAUAAGCGUAGGGAUUUCGCCAAUUCGGAGAAGCAUGAGGGGGCCAUACUUCUUCGAAAGAGAGGCGAGAGAGCGAUGAGGGAGCGAACCGAGUUGGUGGAGGUUUCCUAUGAGAGGAAGCUUAGGAGGGGAAGGGGGGAGCUUGGUUUUGUGAGAUGAAGUUCUCUUGGUGAUAACAAGGAAGUAGAAAAGAGGGAGGAGGAGGAGAGAGGCCAUUAGAGAGAGGCCUAGUGCAACUUGUAGUAUUAUUGGGGCCAUUGCUUCAAUGUUGUUGUCCCUUUGAAACACUUUGUUCACUUUGGUUGUUAAUUUAUAGUUGAAGAUUUUUGUUGUUACAUAGUUGAAGUGUUUAAUUUGUCUACUUAGGGCAUGUUUGUUUUGGUGUAAGUGGAGUGAUGGAACUCAAGUUCCAUCACUUCCGUUAUUUAUUUUGGUGUAAGUAAAAAAUAUAAUGUAACUCAAGUUACGUUAGACUUCCACUUCACCUACUCUCAACUUCCUCCUCUAAAGUGCCGAACUAGACUUCCACCACACUCAACCUCCUCUAAAAUAUUUAUUAAACAGUAAAACCUAAACUCUACUUCCCUUAUAAUAGAUUAGAAUUACCUUAUUAUAAUAAAUUAGAAUUAUCUUUAAAUAAUAAUAAAAAAAUUAAUUAUAUAAUAAGUUAAAUUUUAUAGCAGUAAAUUUACUAUUAUAUUUAGGAGAUAAUGGGAUCCACUUACUUACAUCAAAACAAACAACGGAACUCACAAAAUUAAUUUCACCAGCACCAAGUUACAUCAAAACAAAAAAAAAAAGUAAUUGAAUUUAACUUUCAGGCUAUACGAGUUACGUCAAAACAAACAACCAAAAAAUAAUCACACUUCAGAAAAACUCAAACACCACUGCACUUGACUUACGUUGGAUUUACAGAUUCGUCAAUCCAAACGGACCCUUAGUGCAAAUUUUACAUAUUUUUUGUUUAAAUUUAUAGUUAAUUAUUCAAACUAAUUAAAGUCAAUUCUAAUUUAAUAGGAUAAAAAAUAAUUUAAAUUUAAUUUGUACUAUGUGAAGUACAAAUAAAAGUCUAAUUCAAAUGGAGUUAGAAUUAAACUGAAGUUUGGAACCGUAUAUUAAACUUAAGUUUAUGUGUUCUAAUUAGAGGCAUGCUCUAAUUAAUUAUUAAUUAAGUUAAAGGCAACGAGGGAACAGGAACUGUACCUGGCCGAGAUACUUGUACGGACGUACCGUUGUGGACGCCGAAUAUAUUUUGGCCUUGAAAUUUUGGGAAAAUUCCGUAAGUACCCUUCCAAAUAGCUCUAAUAUCAUAAAUACUAUUUAAAAUUUUGAAAUUUUAUAUUUGUCUUAAAAAAAAACAUAAAAAUUUAAAAAAAAUGCCCUCAUCACUUUUACUCAGUCAUGUUUAGAUAUAACAGAUUCAAAAUACCAAAUUUACCCUCUAAUGCAUUUUCAUCAAUACCGUCACAAAUUUUCUUAGGUUAAUAUAUAGAAAUUUUCUUAACUAUAUAUUAUACAUUACGAAAUAGACCCCCCAAUUUAUUUUUUUGAUUAAAGUCUCCUUAAUAUUUGGUUUCUUGAAAUUGGAUUGAUUUUUUGUCAAUUAAAUUACAGAUUUUAUCAAUCUAUUUAUGAUCCCAACAAAUUAAAUAAUUUUAAUUACUUCCUAAAAGUUAAAAUAAAAAAAAUAUAAUAAGCAAUAGCUAACAUAGCAAUCUAAAUUAAAUAAAAUUUUAAAUAUAACUAACUAAAAUAAAUAAUUAACAAAANAUCAAUCUAUUUAUGAUCCCAACAAAUUAAAUAAUUUUAAUUACUUCCUAAAAGUUAAAAUAAAAAAAAUAUAAUAAGCAAUAGCUAACAUAGCAAUCUAAAUUAAAUAAAAUUUUAAAUAUAACUAACUAAAAUAAAUAAUUAACAAAAGUUAGGAGCUAAAUAGUAUUAAAAAAUAUUAGCGAACAAUGUUAGUUUAAAUAUUAAACAAAUAAUGAACAAAAGUUAGGAAUUAAAUUAUAAAUCAUAUAAUUAAUAUAUUCCUUCAAAAAUUUCUCAACUCAUGGGCAAAAUAAAUAUUUCAAAUUUUAACCAGUGAGGAUAUUUAUGAAAUAAAUAUUCUAUGUAGAGGGGUAUUUGUGAAAUUUUAAAAAUUUGAUGGGUAUUUAUGAUAUUUCAUAUUCAUAAUUUUGUGAGGGUACAAGAGAAAUUAACCCCUGAAUUUUUGUAAGAGAUCGAUUUCAUUUUUGUACUUUGCCUUCAAUAUUAAUAAAUUUUUUGUUCCGUUUGCGUUCGAGGAUGUAGACCGAUAGUGGAACCUUGCACGUAAAUUUCGGUGUAUUCUUUUUUUGCUGUAUUAAUUACUUUUCUAGAUCUACUUUUCGCCAUUUUGAUUUAACAAACUGGUAUCAGAAUUGGAUUAUUUUUUUGGGUGUUCAAGAUAUCGAUGAAAUUGAAGAUCGAGAAAUUUGAUCACUUCAACAAUUUGCUCUACAGAAUGCAACGGAGGUUGCAAAAAAGCAUAACUAGAGAAUGAGAAGACUAUCACUUCAGAAAACCUCGCAGAUUUACUCAUUAUGUCUCUUUUGAUAAUCAAGUUUAGGUACUACAUAAAAUUGAUUUGUAUGUGCAAAAACACUCCAGAAGUUUUUGGGGGUUUGUAGAGAAGAUAGAGAAUUCAAAAGGUAAGAUGAAUAUUUGUUAGUUAUAUUUCGAAUUCUAGAAUCGCAAAAUUUUCUAACCAUAUUCUGUUUUCGUUGUACCAUUAAGUUAAGUAUAAAUUAUGUCUAAUCUUAUUGAAAUUAUUUCUAGUCUUAGGCCUAGUUUGGUAUUGAGAUAUAUCUAACGCUAUUAGAUAAAAUAGAGUUGAAGAAAAAGUAUAUAUAUAGGGAUAUCCUUCUGCAUUCUCCGGUGGGACCGCAGAAAAUAUAUCGUAACCAAUUCAUCGCGAUAUGAGGAACGCAAUAUUAAGUAUGAAAACAAACAUUAUAUUUCUCCAACGUACUUUCUCACCACACAUAACGCAAUCUUCCCGCAAUCCCAAACGAAGCCUUAGUAAUUAGUUUGUGUUUCUAGUUCUAUUAGAAUUUAACAACUAUUAUAAAUAUAUGUUGGGAAUCUAGCACUCGCUCCAGUACCGGAUCUUGUGAAUCCGCAAUCCGCUCCAAUACCAAUUGCUGUGGAUCCGGUAUCGAUUGUUGGGAUUCCUCAAAGGAAGCGUCGAAUCGAAUUUUUUACCAUAUACCCGUUUUCCUCAGCAGAAACUGAUACAAUCAUAAAAGAGAGAAAUACUAAAACAGAAAAUAUGUGAGUAAAAUAAGAUUCAUUAAAUAAGAGAAGAUUACACCUGACUCCUCUUCUGCACAGAGUAGUUAUAACCCGAACCCUUUUUCUGAAUCUCUCCUAUCCUUCUCUCAUCUUUUAUAAAUCCACAAAAAAGACAAUUUCCUUCGUGCACCCGUGCACUAGGUGCACUAAAUCAUGACUAUCUCUCUCCUUUUCUCUUUGGUACGACACCCAAAAGCCUCCUGCCCUACACCUCACAGCCUUUUGGCUUCUUGGCUAAUUAAUUAGCCUCAAUGCUAUAUAUAUAUAUAUAUAGAGUGUGGCUACUGUGCUAUCGAAAACACGGAGUCUUCCGUGCUUCUAAUUCGUUUUCAAUAUUGCGACUUUCGAAUCGUCGAUCGGCUCCGUUAAACUUGAUCUAGAGUAUUUGAAGUACCUAGAAAAUAAAUUUUAUGAUUUUACGAUAUCAUUUGCCUAUUGAACGAAGGGCCUCAAAAUCAACGGCUGAAAAUAAAAAUCUUACAAAUGUAAUAAUAGACAUUAAAAUUUUAAAUCAAAGAUAUUGAUCUUGUUUUAUAUAGUAUAAGAAAUUUUCUAUCAAAAUUUUAUGUGAUUUGGAUAUUUCUACACCGUUAAACAUGCAAACGGCUCACUACGGCCAUUGAAAUUUGUUGAUUUUGAGCCCAUUUGAUCACUAAGCAAAUGAUAUCGAAAAAUAAUAAAAUUUAUUUUCUAGAUACUCCAAAUACUCUAGAUCAAGUUUAACGGAGCCGAUCGACGAUUCGAAAGUCGCAACAUCGAAAACGAGCUGGAAGCAUGGAAGGCUCCGUGCUUCUAAUAGCAUAGAAGCCUCACUAUAUAUAUAUAUAUAUAUAUAUAUAUAUAUAUAUAUAUAUAGCACCUGCGAAGACGUACCCCAAUCCUAAUAUAUUUAAGAUUUUUACUUCAAUUAAUAUCUAAAUUUAUCUUAAUUAAUCUCUAAUAGAUUUUAAUAUUAAUCCUAAUCUAGUUAGGUUUAUCCUCUAAUUAAUAUUUUAAUUUUAAUUUAUCUCCAAUAGAUUUAAAUAUUAAUUUUUAUCUAAUUAGGAUUCAAUUAUAAAUCUAACCAAAUCCUAACAAUCUCCACCUUGAUUGGAUUCGUAAUUUUCAACCGCUAUGUCGAGCUCAUCAUGCAAUUAAGCUCCACCUUAAGCUUGUCUCCUCUGCUUGAUGUCGCCGCAUCUGUCGUUUCGCCUCGAGCGACUGCAUCUCCGCGAACUUUUGGAACCCAAACCGUCUUCACUCCCGUUCAGACUGUGCUCCCGUUCAGAACAUAUAAGUUCCCGCGGUUGUUCGCCUUGCACACGACCUGAUCUCGCUCUCGGACUCUCAUAGCUCCACCUGAAGCCGAAAUAUCGCAACCCUUCGAGUCCAACAUGCUU